ACUCCUACGGGAGGCAGCAGUGGGGAAUAUUGCACAAUGGGCGCAAGCCUGAUGCAGCCAUGCCGCGUGUGUGAAGAAGGCCUUCGGGUUGUAAAGCACUUUCAGUCGUGAGGAAGGUAGUGUAGUUAAUAGCUGCAUUAUUUGACGUUAGCGAGANAAGAGACGCGUAACUCCGUGCCAGCAGCCGCGGUAAUACGGAGGGUGCGAGCGUUAAUCGGAAUUACUGGGCGUAAAGCGCAUGCAGGUGGUUUGUUAAGUCAGAUGUGAAAGCCCGGGGCUCAACCUCGGAAUAGCAUUUGAAACUGGCAGACUAGAGUACUGUAGAGGGGGUAGAAUUUCAGGUGUAGCGGUGAAAUGCGUAGAGAUCUGAAGGAAUACCGGUGGCGAACGGGCCCCCUGGACAAAGACUGACGCUCAGAUGCGAAAGCGUGGGAGCAAACAGGAUUAGAUACCCUGGUAGGUGA
rnacentral:rRNA from 1 species